rnacentral:rRNA from 1 species
UACGUAGGGACCAAGCGUUGUUCGGAUUUACUGGGCGUAAAGAGCGUGUAGGCGGCCAGACAGGUCCGUUGUGAAAACUAGAGGCUUAACCUCUAGACGUCGAUGGAAACCGUCUGGCUAGAGUCCGGAAGAGGAGAAUGGAAUUCCUGGUGUAGCGGUGAAAUGCGCAGAUAUCAGGAAGAACACCCGUGGCUAAGGCGGUUCUCUAGUACGGUACUGACGCUGAGACGCGAAAGCGUGGGGAGCGAACAGG